CUUUCCAAAAACUAUUAGAAGUUUAAAAUCGGCAUACAUGCUUCAACAGUUCUCAAGAUAUGAACAUAUCACACCGGUAAAAGAUGAAAAAGAUUUCAAAAAGAAAUGUUAACAUCGCCAUCGCAGGACAUGAAUUUGCAGCGCCUAAGAUUCCAAAAUCUUCUGCAUAUUUGAAGUGUUCAAUGCUGAACAAAACACCAUAUGAAUUUAAUUUUGCGUUUCAGGUGAUUUUCUGGUCGCGCAUCAUUCUUCAAAGAACUUAUCGCUUCAGACCAAUGAAGUUCCUCAAUUCACAUUUCAGAUUCGAUCACAAAAGUUGGCCAAAAUAAUGCACAUUACCUUGGUGGGUUCAUCAUCUCCUAUACUGGUCUGUAACUAUAAAACCAUGCACAAAAUCAUACAAUUCCCUCGAAUACCGACCGACCGACCGAGUUCACCGACUCUGUAAAGCACAUGAAUACUUCAGCAUCAACAUCUCAUUAGCCGGUACGCAGUUCCAUGACCAGCACCGUUCAUCCAACCGUCGUCUCCCAGGAACUCGACACACCGCGCGCGACGCGGCCCACAUCUCGCAAUAGGCUCAACCCGCGCUCGGGAGCGAUUAUCCCGAGGCCGGCGCGAAUUGGAGGAAUCCGGCAGCCUCGCGGCGAGAGCACCGGCGGACGUUUCCGAGAGUCGGACAAUUCUCCGGAGCAUCCGGUUCGAUGAACAAACAACACGUGCGUGCGAGAAGAGAGAGAGAGUACCUUGUUUCCGAAGAGCAAGAGAAGAGGUUGAGUGUCGCGGCUCCGACAGAGGAGAGAGAGAUUCAGGCACUGGCGAGAGAGACGAAGGGCGUGCAAAGACGGGGGAAGAAGUAAGAACGGCGGAAGACGAAAAUCGGGACCGUCGGUGAAGGGUCACCUGAAAAUAAACGUCGACGCUUCGUGGACUGAAAACCAGAGAGAGGGAGGAUCAAUUGCCGGGCUAUGCAGAGACGAGAACGGGGUCCUCAGGGAUGGUUUCGCGGCCAAAAUUGAAGCCGACUCACCUCUGAAAGCAGAAGCUUUGGCUGUCCUUGCAGCUCUGCGGAAAGUAACGAAGGAGAGAGAAGAAAAGGAGCCCCACGUUCGCACAAAACUUGAAGAUAGAAGAACAGUCUGACUGCAAAACCGUGAUGGCGAUGGACAGCUUGAUGGGCUUUGCACCGAGCCCAUGGACAGUGGAACCAAUUUUAGAGGAUUGCAAAGUGCUGUUGGCCCAACUUAAAAACAAGCCCGGCGAUUGGAUAGCAAGAGCACACCGGGACAACCGUCUUCCUCGCAAUUGGAUUUUAUAUCCCCUCAUCCACUUUGGGUCUUAUUAUUUUAACAAUUCCGAACCCAGUUGCGGUUCCGCAACUUAUUAGUAAUGAUCACUAUCUUUCGACAAAAAAACAAAAAAGGUUGUAGCAUUGAAUCUUGAACUUCUGUAUACUUUGUGAAGGUUUCGUGUAUUUCCCGCAAGAUAAAAAGUAGAAUUGGGGAGACGUGGCAUUCGCCGAAAAGUCACCCCGGAUGAAUGUGGUAAGGAUAGAAUCCACCCGUGCAAAGAACUCCCCUCGUGAAAUGAUUCUUGCGUUCCUGAGAUUUACUCAUUUCAAACUUAAAGGCAUCAAUCACUUUCAUAUAAAGCCAAGCUGUGUUGUGUUCAACUACAUCAUAGCUUUCUGGACAACAUUUUCCAAAUUACAUUCUUCAUCCUCUAAAACAAUAGAGCACAGACGCUCCCAGAUUUGUAACUGCACACUUUCAACCAAAGCCGAAGGAGAUACCGAACUGCUCGAAUACAAUAUUCACACCAUGGCCGAGAUCACCACCGAGGAUCCUCGCUAUGCAUGGGGUCAGCGAAACAUCCAGACAGCCACAGAAGGAAAAAACGAAACAGCAAAAGAAUAAUCUGAACGACAGCACCUCCCAAAAGCAAUCAGACGGAAACAAAUUCUAUACAUCAGGAGUGAAGCGACAGCCCGGGAAACAUCUUUGCGGCUCCUGGGGCUGCGUGGACAAGGAGUUGGAGGGAGCUAAGUUGUUAGAACAUCAGGGAUUGCAGCGGUAUGAGCACCGACGACUUUGCCACCGACAUCAGGAAACUCCUCAGAUCCUGGCAAUGGCCCGACAUUCCCAUGUUGGUCCACGUCUAUGGGGUACUGGAGAAGGUGGCCCUGCAACUCGCCUUGAUUCUUGUAGCUGUUCCAGUUCUUUCCGGCUAUCUCCUUCACCCUCUUCACACAUGCUGGACUGCCAGGCUCAUUAAAGCAUUCUUCCACUACCCCAAGAUGCUCUGCCCACAGGGACAUUCUGUAUCCAUAUACCUGCAUAGAUGGGCAACAAGGCAAACACAUGACAAUCAUACCCGAAAAUAUGUAUCUCAGUUGCUCCAUUCACAAGUCACUGCGACCUAUUUUAGAUUCAACUGCAUUCCCCCUGUCAAAACAAAUACCAGAGUCGAAACCAUUUCGAAUUCUUCUGACUGGAAAUGGUGUUCUUGGCAUUGUUACAACCAAUUGAACAAGUGUGAACUGAUUUGUACUAGAAAGAUUCAGUGAAUAUUUACUUAAACAAGCCGGCACAAACAUCCUAAAAUUAGAAAUUAGGCUUAGGCAAAGAAGCCACGAGAUAACAACCUGACCACGUGGAUGCCCCUCCUUUUUCGCACAGGUGUGAUGGGGCUGAUAUGCACCCAUGGCAAUCUCAGUAUCUUUGGUGCCAGCCAAUGAUCUUUGGUUAAGAUUUGCCGAUCCCAAUAAGACAUACUCAUCAUCCACUACCAUUCCUUUAGCGUGAACAUAUAUCAUAAAUCGCUUGGAAUUGUACGAUUCUGAGACCUGCUGUAUCACGUCAGAAAACAUCAGAUCCAAGGUUCAUCAACUUAUAUCAUGGGGAAAGCUGAUUAACCACGUGUCAAUCUUAACACAGGCUCCACAAUGAUUACUCAAGAUCGACUCACCUUAUUUCUAAUCAAGCUUGAGCUCAAAGUUCUCAAGUAUCUUGUCGAGUCAAGUUCAAGCUCGCCAAUACUUAGUUUGACAAGCUCCUAAGCCCAAUUGAGCUCCUAUCUUUUCAAAAAUAUUUUUUAAGAACCAAAAAAGGACUCAAAAGUCAUUCAAACUACAUAUUUAACCCUCAUAAGCAAAUAUGCAGGGAAACUGUUUGAGCUUACUAAAACUCAAGCUCAAGUUCAUGAAUAACUCUAUUAUAAUUGAGUCAAGUUCAACUCAAGCUCAAUACAAAAAGUUUUAUAUGUGAUCAAGCUCUAGCUGAGUUCAAGCCCCAAGGAUGCAGGUUGAGUUGAGCACGAACUUUAUACCAUGUCGACUUGACUCAGCUCAAUUACAACUCUAUGAACCACACUUGCUAGUCUAGGCAUUCAUGCACCACUGAAUGAGAUACUGUAAAAAGCAUUACCGCAUUAUUUGGAGAAUGUUGACCAGAAUUAUCUUCCCUUUUACCAAGACAGUAAAAAUUAAGGUAGUCCUGAGGAUAAUCUUUAAGUGAUGUUUGCUUCAGUUGACUUGCAAUGACUCGAUACAUCAUUUGCAUGGUCUGGUUCUGGGAAAAAAAACGAGGCAAAUAAUUAAAAAGAAUCAGAAUAUGUGAGAUUUCAGUAUCCAAAGAAUUAGAAACACACAAUAUUUUCUAUAACUAUCGAUUUACUAUUUUAUGGCUAAUGUGAUGUGUGAGUAGGAGACAAUAUCAAAGAAUACUUUGCCCAGCAUUAAACAUAGACAUCCAGAACUAGUGAGAAAGCAUAAUCUCGUAUUGGCUGGACACCUAAAUGGAAUCAAUUAUGUAGUAUUUGCUACUCUAUAGUAUGUAGUGAUUUCUGUCACCCGUCAUGUAAAGGUUGUCCUUGUCCAUGGUACACUAUAGGAAGCCUACUCUUGCCUCUCACCAUCUCACCUAUCAAACAAAAGCACCAAGGUCUACACAGAUCUGCGAAAACACAUUCAUGUCCCAACCUACCUGCCAAAAGAGAAUCUCUUGGACUGCAGCUGACUUGGGAUCCCCUUCAGGCCACAUCGGUAUGACAAUAUAUACAGCAAAUCUCUCGUUUGCUUUAAUUUUGCUAGCAAUCUUCAGGGCCAACUCCAUCGGAAUGAGGUUAUCAGCUCCUGCUCAGACCAUGCUACAAAUAGCUGAUAGUGGUUUGUGGACAAAAAUCUAACUAUAAGAAGUCUACUGCUUACUAAGACUUCAUUAAUGUGGCAAACAGUACUAGUUAGUGACUUAGCUCCUUAACAUUUAAAAAAGUGAUGAAAAUGGUCAAUUGACCCCCAAACAAAAGAUUUAACCAAUACUUUGGAGUGAAAUGAGCCAUAAUCAAUAUAUAUAUAUAUAUAUUUGGUAGCUUGAUUCACCUCUGCAGGUCAAAUAUGUGUAUAAGCACAUGAUUGUGAUUAAACGAGCGGCACUUAGUCCACCAAUUAUCUCGAGUAUAGAUAGGAAAUGUGUACUUGCAAAAUAAAAGAAAUCAUGAUAUUCACCUGCAUCAUUAUGCGAUGGCCACGCAUACGAUGAUCCCAGAAAAUACUGAUUUUCAAUAUAUACAAAAUUUUUGGCAGAUCGGAUUGCCUGAAUGUAAGCUGUCUGAAUGCUUCUGUCUACUACUACAUCUUUUGCAUCUAUAAGAUUCUGCACCAAAAACUACCAAUAAUUAAGAGGAUGCAGAUAUGAAUGUCAAUUAGAAAGGCAGAAACUAGUUUAAGUUUUAACAAGACAGAGAUUCCUACUGCACAGGUCCAUUAAUAUGAUUUCUUCACCUUUUUACGAAAAUCGUUCAACUAAAAAAAAGCAAAAAGAGAAGAAAAGUAGGGAUAAGAAAUGAAGAAAGAAACAUAGAUCUCAUGUACACCUGCUUUCCAGCAACUUCUUUCUUUUUUUUCGGAAAUCCUUUGACUGAUCCAGAAUCAAUAGACCGGAAAAUCUGCACAAGCAAACAUGAAGGAAAGGGCUAAAUAAAAGAAAGAUAACCUGAACAUGCUAUAACAACAUGGAACUUGCAUUUCCAACCUGAACAUGCCAGUUAUUAUGAUCAUCUUCUUUAGAGACAUAGAUAUCGGGGUUGUCCUCAGGCACUACCGUAGUACGCUCAUGGCGGUUUUCCUUUGAAAGAGAUCUGGUGCUAUCAUGUAAAUCAGUUGAUGGAGGACUCAAUAUCCAAGAGAUACGGCUUAUUUUAAGUAAGGAAUCAUCAUGCCAAUGUUUUUUUCCUUUGACAAAGAGACUGAAAUCUUUCCAUCUUGUUGCUUUCCUCCAACGUUGCUCAAAGUUGAUCAGUACAUCAUAUGCAGCAGGACCUUCAAUCCGGCAGUGCAAGUCGUGCCAUGGUUGUCUUGGAGCUUCCACUCCAGCCUGACAGAUACAAAAUAAAGUAACUCACUGGAAGAAAAUCAAGAGAUAAUACCAAGUUGUGCAGCAACUACCAGUGCAUGGUACCAAAGUCCAAGAUCUUACAAGACUCAAAACUGAAAGAAAUAGCAAGAUAUUGUUCCAUUCACCCCUUUCUUUUUUCAGGUUCUAUCAAUCAAAUCUCAAACUUUAGGUGUACCCACAGCAUAUGGAUGGGCAUUCUGUAGAGAACCUCAAUAUGAGCACAACCUUUUCAGCAUGAAGAAAGUUUAAUGGCUUGACUCGAUACACACAAAAACUUAAUUUAGUCGAAUAUAUCUCGCUCAUUUCAUACUAGUCCAUGCAACAAAUUAAGAUUGAAAUGAUACAAAGAACUUGCUUGUAUCAUGACAAAUUCGAGUAGUAGACUAGAACCUGCGGCCUCUUCCAUUAUCCAGAAAUUUAAAAAUGCUUUUGUGCCCCUGGCAAGGCUGUCAAAGGUUAAGUUCACUAUAUGCUUCAUCUAAAAAUCUUUUCCAGCAAGUCAUUAAGCAGAGGCAUGAAUCUUCCUUCAAUCUUAAUAAUAAUCAAUCCACUUCUGAUGUGCAACCACGGCAAUAAAUUCUGAAAAACAACGAAAUAAAACCCUUCAAAUUCGCAGAUUUUGAUUUUAUCAAUUCAUCCUCAUUUCACCUUGCUUAUCCACCUGACUAUUUCUUAAUGGAUUCCCAUACAAAACCUCUUAAAAUUUUAACGCUACCACAACACUUAUGAUCAUAAUUCAUCAGAUGCGACAAAACAUAUCUAAUCAGAAAUAGGCAGACUGUUAUUACAGAGAUGGUACAUCAGUUCUCAAGUAAAAGUAUCACGCCACUCUUCAUGCAGGAAAGUUGGGGGAAAAAAAAUGGGCUCAAAAGACUUCUAUCACUCCAGAGUCUAAAAUUCAAUUUGCAUUAUAAGACAGCACACACAAGAGUAUUAAACAGAAAAGAAAAACUGCUAGGCAAAAAAAGCAUAGACAAACAACUCACAGGAAAUGUAGGAUUGUGAAAGUCGUCCUUAAAAACAGUGUCAAGAUUGCGAAAUAGCCGAUGCUCGGGUGUAUCAUAUCGACCGUCACAGAGAUCAAUUCCUCCUAUAAAUGCAGUUAUUUUUCGGUAAUUACCCGACGCCUGGGUGUCCACCAGGAUGCAUUUUUGAUGGUGUGUGAACAUUGAUCCAACAACCUGGAGAAAAAAAACACAGUCCAAGCUUGAAAGAGUUACUAAGGUUACCAGAAUUACCACAGCACCACAUAAGGAACUCAAGCAAGAAAGGAGGAUAAAAGUCCAUCCAUUCUCACAAGAUUUAUGCAGCCAUGCUUAAGUAAAAUGAGUGUACAUUACAAGCAAACCUUAUCCCUUAAGAUUAUCAUUCCAAAUCAAUGAAUGACGAUUAUGUAUAGCACAGAAUCUUCCCUAGAAAGUAGAGUACCUU
rnacentral:lncRNA from 1 species